rnacentral:rRNA from 1 species
UGGGGAAUUUUCCGCAAUGGGCGAAAGCCUGACGGAGCAAUGCCGCGUGGAGGUAGAAGGCCCACGGGUCGUGAACUUCUUUUCUCGGAGAAGAAACAAUGACGGUAUCUGAGGAAUAAGCAUUGGCUAACUCUGUGCCAGCAGCCGCGGUAAGACAGAGGAUGCAAGCGUUGUUCGGAUUUACUGGGCGUAAAGGGCGCGUAGGCGGCAUGACAAGUCACUUGUGAAAUCUCUGGGCUUAACCCAGAACGGCCAAGUGAUACUGUCGCGCUAGAGUGCAGAAGGGGCAAUCGGAAUUCUUGGUGUAGCGGUGAAAUGCGUAGAUAUCAAGAGGAACACCUGAGGUGAAGACGGGUUGCUGGGCUGACACUGACGCUGAGGCGCGAAAGCGUGGGUAGCAAACAGGAUUAGAUACCCACGUAGUCCCUGAGCGGGCUGGCAAGGCGCAU